GACGAACGCUGGCGGCGUGCUUAACACAUGCAAGUCGAACGAUGAAGCCGGAGCUUGCUCUGGUGAAUUAGUGGCGAACGGGUGAGUAACACGUGGGUAACCUGCCCAUAAGACUGGGAUAACUCCGGGAAACCGGGGCUAAUACCGGAUAACAUUUUGAACCGCAUGGUUCGAAAUUGAAAGGCGGCUUCGGCUGUCACUUAUGGAUGGACCCGCGUCGCAUUAGCUAGAUGGUGAGGUAACGGCUCACCAAGGCAACGAUGCGUAGCCGACCUGAGAGGGUGAUCGGCCACACUGGGACUGAGACACGGCCCAGACUCCUACGGGAGGCAGCAGUAGGGAAUCUUCCGCAAUGGACGAAAGUCUGACGGAGCAACGCCGCGUGAGUGAUGAAGGCUUUCGGGUCGUAAAACUCUGUUGUUAGGGAAGAACAAGUGCUAGUUGAAUAAGCUGGCACCUUGACGGUACCUAACCAGAAAGCCACGACUAACUACGUGCCAGCAGCCGCGGUAA
rnacentral:rRNA from 1 species